AAAUUGACCAAUUUAAAGUAUAAACCUUGUUUUUAUUAUUUAAGUUUUAGAAUAAGAAUUUGAUGAAAAUAUUGAAAAGAAUAUUUUUCUACAAAGUUCCUGGCCAUUUAUAUAUAAUAAUCUUCAUAUUGUAUUCAUUAAAGAUAGUUUUUAGUAUCUACUUCUUAAAAACAGUAAUUUCUAUAUUAAUUCUAGUAAUAGAAACAGAAUAGGAGUGAUGAGUGGUUUUUGAUAAUUUAGAAACA